GAUGAACGCUGGCGGCGUGCCUAAUACAUGCAAGUCGAGCGAACAGACGAGGAGCUUGCUCCUCUGACGUUAGCGGCGGACGGGUGAGUAACACGUGGAUAACCUACCUAUAAGACUGGGAUAACUUCGGGAAACCGGAGCUAAUACCGGAUAAUAUAUUGAACCGCAUGGUUCAAUAGUGAAAGACGGUUUUGCUGUCACUUAUAGAUGGUUCCGCGCCGCCUUAGCUAGUUGGUAAGGUAACGGCUUACCAAGGCGACGAUGCGUAGCCGACCUGAGAGGGUGAUCGGCCACACUGGAACUGAGACACGGUCCAGACUCCUACGGGAGGCAGCAGUAGGGAAUCUUCCGCAAUGGGCGAAAGCCUGACGGAGCAACGCCGCGUGAGUGAUGAAGGUCUUCGGAUCGUAAAACUCUGUUAUUAGGGAAGAACAAAUGUGUAAGUAACUAUGCACGUCUUGACGGUACCUAAUCAGAAAGCCACGGCUAACUACGUG
rnacentral:rRNA from 1 species